UGUGUUCUUCCCCCCCACCAGCCCCCCACACACACAAAACAAAAAGUUUACUUUGGUGAAAAAAAUUUGUCAACUUUGCACUUUUGUUAGCAGAAGGUUAUUUAACUGGAUAAUGGAUUUUGAAAUUAACUUUUUCAGAACUUCUAAGUUUGUAACUCUGACAGUCCAAGCCCAUUUGCUCAAAAUGGCUAGCCCAAGUUACAUCUAGUGGCUGGGCUUGGGCU
rnacentral:misc_RNA from 1 species